CACCGUACCCCGACCGCGGGGGCGCACGCCGCCGGCGAGGGUCUCUGGUAACUGCAGGUGUGGCGCUGCACGGGUUUUCUCAGACCAGGGAAGGCGAAGAAAACAUCCAAGAGACGGGAGAGCCAAGGCUAGGUCGAUUGAAAUGAAAAUGUGAGCGCCACGACCGCCAGUUUUCAGCUUUAUAAGUAGGAAUUUAAUCCUGAUUAGGAGAAAUAAGAAUGUCAUUGAACAGACCACAGAGCUGAUGAGAAAGCAGGACACCUCACCUAGUCUGAAGAGGCCGCUCUCCCUCCGUGUGGAGGGAGGGAGAGAGGCGUGAAGAAUUGUCACUUCUCACAGAGCUGAAUUUUGGCUGAAUUUAACUUCUCACAGAACUGGACAGCAGAUGAGGAAACUGGCCCGCUCGCUUUAACUCUUCCCACGAUUUCUCAUCUGGACCAUAGUGAUGUCUUACUGCCUACUCUAGUUUAAAACGUCCUCGGGUGGUCUCUUAGGCCCUUCAAAUUAAGAGCCCCAUCUGCACGAGGCGGGACUGUGGGGAGACUAAGGUCAGGCUGGCUUUGGAUCCUGCCAAUGCCUCUCAUGGGCUGGAUGAUCUUAACAAGUACCUUACUUUCUCUG